CUGCCAGAAGCCAGAAACUGCCCUCUCCACACACCAACACACCCCUAAAUAUAUCGUACCUUUGUGUAGAUCUUAACUGAUGACCUUCAGCAUGAACCCCAGGUUGCAACGGGUGCCAAAUUAGAAUGACACGAAGGGGGGCGGUCCUUUCAUGAGGCAAGGUGAGACAGUUGCCCCAGGAAGCAGAUUAUUGGGACAGCAGCCAGCCAGGCACCAGCCACCAGAGCCCCUCCUCAGGACUGGUCUGCAAGGAAGUACCUCUCAUCAUACUCCUUGCAAAGCUUUCAAGAAGCACAAGGAGAGAUGAGGAGGCUGCUGGCAAUCGUGCCCCUCCCUGGUCCCUAGAGCCACUUUCAAAGCAUGAAAGGAUCGGUCUUGCAAGGGAGCUGACUCCCACUAAAGGCAACAUUUGGCAUCACUUCAGGCACAAAACCACCAAAAAACAGGAAGCAUCCACUAAAAUGUUAGUGAAGAACAUUUCAAAAUGCUUUGGAAUAUAUGAGGUCCUUUUAUUACUUGUAGAUGUGUUUCAGCCACAAGGUUUCAGCUAGGGAUGUGUAAAGCGAUUAGGGUACAAAAUGAUUUGUACCUGAGUCUGGCUGAUUUGAGUGAUUUGUAGAAGGAACAGAUCACCCCGUCCUCAAUUGCCCAGAUUUGGGUACAAAACAAAUCACCCCCGAUUCGGAUCUGAGAAAUUUGGAGAUUUGGACCUUCAUUUUGUGGCCAAAGUGGGUUAGGUGGUAGGGCCCAAUGGGUGGAAGCUACCACACAUAUUUCAAAGAAAUUGGGCAAAGGAGUGAUUUUUAAAUAAUAUUUGAGGUUUACACGUCUUUAAGCUUUUCCCCGUAGGGAAUAAUGGGGAUUUCAGCAACCUUAUCACUCCACAUGGGGGGCACCAGGGUGGCCCAGAGCAGGUUGCAAUGGGUGGUAGUGCCCAAUGGGUGCAAGGAAACUACCACCCAAAUAUCAAAGGAAUUGGGCAAAGGGGUGAUUUUAAAAGAAUUUUUGAAGUUGGCAUGUCUUUGGGGCAGACUUGGGGCAGAAAAGGGGUUUCAGAGGCAGAAGAGUGGGUAAGAUGGUAGUGCCCCAAUGGAUGCUUGCUACCAUCCAGGUUUCAAAUAAAUUCGUGAAAGAGGUGAUUUUAAAAGAAUUUCUGGAUUUUGUGCAUCUUUAAGCUUUCCCCCCAUAGGGCAUAAUAGUGUUUCACCCAGUGGCCCACCAGAUGCCUCUGGGAUGCCCACAGGCAAGAGGUGAGGGCAUGCCCUCCUG